UACGGAGGGAGCUAGCGUUGUUCGGAAUUACUGGGCGUAAAGCGCACGUAGGCGGCUUUUCAAGUCAGGGGUGAAAUCCCGGGGCUCAACCCCGGAACUGCCUCUGAAACUGGAUGGCUAGAAUCUUGGAGAGGCGAGUGGAAUUCCGAGUGUAGAGGUGAAAUUCGUAGAUAUUCGGAAGAACACCAGUGGCGAAGGCGACUCGCUGGACAAGUAUUGACGCUGAGGUGCGAAAGCGUGGGGAGCAAACAGG
rnacentral:misc_RNA from 1 species